GAUGAUGGUUAGUGUGAGAAGGAUUAGAUAGUGUAUAAUUAGAAAAUAGUGAACCAAAUUGCAAUAAUCUAAAAGAAUAAGGAUCUAAAAUGUAAAAAGACAAAAAAGAGUACACAUGUCAACAAACUCAUCUUCCACAUGUCAUAAGAAGAGAGAAAAAUCUACUUUAUAUAUAUAUAUACUAGUGGUAUUCCGGCACUACGCACCGGGUUCAUAUGUUUUAUUUUCACAUGAAUUUAUAAAUCAUUUAUAGUCUUAUUAAAGAAAAUAUGCUCAAAAUAUGAAAAUAAAAAUAUCUUGAAAGAAAAUG
rnacentral:lncRNA from 1 species